rnacentral:rRNA from 1 species
GUGCCAGCAGCCGCGGUAAUACCGGCAGCUCGAGUGAUGUCCCAUAUUAUUGGGCCUAAAGCGUCCGUAGCUGGCCGCGCAAGUCCGUCGGGAAAUCCACAUGCCCAACAGGUGGGCGUCCGGCGGAAACUGUGUGGCUUGGGAUCGGAAGGCUCGAAGGGUACGUUCGGGGUAGGAGUGAAAUCCCAUAAUCCCGCACGGACCACCGAUGGCGAAAGCACUUCGAGAAAACGGAUCCGACAGUGAGGGACGAAAGCCAGGGUCUCCAACCGGAUUAGAAACCCGGGUAGUCC